rnacentral:lncRNA from 1 species
CCAUAAGUCAAUCAAACAGGCAAAACAUCAGUACAGAGACAAAGUGGAGUCGCAAUUCAACAGCUCAGAUAUGAGACGUAUGUGGCAAGGUCUACAGACAAUCACGGACUACAAAGGGAAAACCAGCCACAUCGCGGACACAGACGUCUUGCUUCCUGACAAGCUAAACACCUUCUUCGCCCGCUUUGAGGAUAACACAGUGCCACCACACGGCCUGCUACCAAGGACUGUGGGCUCUCCUUCUCUGUGGCAGAUUCUGCUGUCCCCACUUGCUUCAAGAUGUCCACUAUUGUUCCUGUACCUAAGAAAGCAAAGGAUAUCGUGACAGAAUCCCGCACCGUUACCAGAUGGAGUCAUCAGGAGCAGAAGCGCCGUCCAUGGCUGAACAGGUGUCUCAACAUGCCAGCCUCCUCCACCGCCUGGGCACGGCCAUGGAUCAGGUGCUAGCCCGUUUGGAGAGCUGGGAGAGAGGUGCUCCCCCACCCACAUCAGCGCCGGUUCACCACCCUGCACCCCUACCGGCACCCACAAAACCCAGCUCGAGUGGGAUCAGGAUCACGCCUCCCAGGGAGUUUGAUGGGGCGGCCGCUGGGUGCAAGGGGUUUCUACUCCAGUUAGAUCUGUAUCUGGCGACCGUCCGCCCCUCUCCCUCUGAUGAGGCGAGGGUGAGCGUCCUCGUCUCGUGUCUCACGGGUAGAGCCCUAGAAUGGGCCAACGCCGUCUGGGAGGGCCCAGACUCGGCUAGGGGCGACUACCCGGAGUUCACCGGUAUUCGAUCAUCCCCCGGAGGGCAAGGCGGCGGGUGAGCGAUUAUUACACCUAAGACAGGAGAAGAGGAGCGCUCAGGACUUUGCCCUGGAAUUCCGGACUCUCGCUGCAGGAUCGGGGUGGAAUGAGCGGGCCCUGAUUGACCACUACAGAUGUAGUCUUCGAGAGGACGUCCGCCGGGAGCUGGCUUGUCGGGACAAUACCACCACCCUGGACCAGCUCAUAGAUUUGUCCAUCAGGGGACAACCUGCUGGCUUCCCGGAGGCGUUCCAGUCGGGGCCUGUUUGUUCCACCUCCCAGCCCUCCUGCUCCAACGCCCAUGGAGAUAGGAGGGGCUGCAGCUAGGAGGACCGGAGGGGGGGGGCCUCUCCAGCACCCACUGUGGUUGUAGAGGGCACACUGCGGACCGGUGCUGGAGAGGUCCACCCGGGAGUUCAGAUGGCAGGCAGAGCACCACGUCGACCCCCCAGGUGAGUCAGCACCAGCCACACCCAGAGCCCCCUGUCGACCACAUGUACACCUCAGUUUGUUUUCCUGAGUUUUCCCCUGACUUCCAGCAUAAGGCACUAGUCGAUUCAGGCGCAGCUGGGAGUUAUGGACCGUGGGGUUGCCAAGAAGCUAGGGAUUCCCCUGGUUCAGCUGGAUCACCCCUUCCCCGUGCACGCCCUAGAUAGUCGACCACUAGGGUCCGGCCAAGUGAGGGAGGUCACAGUACCACUGGUCAUGGUGACGCGGGGGGGCAUGAGGAACGUAUCAGCCUGUUCCUCAUUGAUUCCACGGCGUUUCCGGUGGUACUGGGAAUUCCCUGGCUAGCCACUCACAACCCUAAGAUUUCGUGGAGGCAGAGGGCUCUUAAGGGGUGGUCGAGGGAGUGCUCAGGCAGGUGUAUAGGAGUUUCCAUCGGUGCGACCAC